GGGUAGGUGGCCGAGUGGCUAAAGGCGGCAGACUGUAAAUCUGUUCUCAUUUGAGUACGAAGGUUCGAAUCCUUCCCUGCCCACCA
rnacentral:tRNA from 1 species